rnacentral:lncRNA from 1 species
CUGAAGGAAGGCUGUGUACAGCUGUAUCAGGCAGGUCUAUUUCAAAGCCAAGCAGAGUACAAAACAAUUGAACUCAGCAUCUCUCUAAAGACAACAUGCACAAGACCCAACACUGCAUCCUAACAUGAUUUAAAAGAAAGGAGGGGACUUCCCAGCGAGAGAGCAGAUGGGAAACCUUAUCAGUGUACUCACUGAUAGGAAGCGAUCAGCAGAAUACACAGUAACUUCUGUUCUUGCAAGAAUCCGUAGCUGUAAAGGAAGUCAGCAAACCAGGUCUCACGGUUAUGAUCCUGGCUUCCUUCUGGGAGGGGAUAUGCCAAGCCAAAAAGAUCUGUAGCCCAGAUUUCGUCUGGAGCUAACUGCAGCCACGUGACACAGCCCUGACCAGUGUGCUGC